UUAACACAUGCAAGUUCGAACGAUGAUGCCCAGCUUGCUGGGCGGUAUUAGUGGCGAACGGGUGAAGUAAUACGGUGGAGUAACCUGCCCUUGCACUCUGGGUAUAAGCCUGGGAAACUGGGUCUAAUACUGGAUACUACCUCUUACCGCAUGGAUGGGUGGUGGAAAGGGUUUUACUGGUUUUGGAUGGGCUCACGGCCUAUCAGCUUGUUGGUGGGGUAAUGGCUCACCAAGGCGACGACUGGUAGCCGGCCUGAGAGGGUGACCGGCCACACUGGGACUGAUACACGGCCCAGACUCCUACGGGAGGCAGCAGUGGGGAAUAUUGCACAAUGGGCGGAAGCCUGAUGCAGCGACGCCACGUGAGGGAUGACGGCCUUCGGGUUGUAAACCUCUUUCAGUAGGGAAGAAGCGAGAGUGACGGUACCUGCAGAAGAAGCGGCGGCUAACUACGUGCCA
rnacentral:rRNA from 1 species